CGAACGGGUGAGUAACAACGUGGGCAACCUGCCCAAAANAGGGGGAGUAACACUUGGAAACAGGUGCUAAUACCGCAUAACCAUAGUUAGCGCAUGGUAACUAUGUAAAAGGUGGCUAUGCUACCGCUUUUGGAUGGGCCCGCGGCGCAUUAGCUAGUUGGUGGGGUAAAGGCUUACCAAGGCAAUGAUGCGUAGCCGAACUGAGAGGUUGAUCGGCCACAUUGGGACUGAGACACGGCCCAAACUCCUACGGAAGGCAGCAG
rnacentral:rRNA from 1 species